GGAGUCGGCCAGGCGGCCGCGGCACCGAUGCGGUGUCGAGGAAAGUCCGGACUCCACAGGGCAGGGUGGUCGGUAACACCGACCCGGGGCGACCCGCGGGAAAGUGCCACAGAAAGCAGACCGCCACCGCUGUGCGGUGGUAAGGGUGAAACGGUGGUGUAAGAGACCACCAGCGGCCGGAGUGAUCCGGUCGGCUCGGUAAACCCCACCCGGAGCAAGGUCAAGAUGGGGACGUGCGUCCCCUGCGCGGAUGUUCGAGGGCUGCCCGCCCGAUGUCCGCGGGUAGACCGCACCGAGGCUGCCGGAAACGGCAGUCCCAGACGGAUGGCCGCCCGGUCCGCCAGGACCGACAGAAUCCGGCUUAUCGGCCGGCUCCCCCU
rnacentral:RNase_P_RNA from 1 species